rnacentral:rRNA from 1 species
CAGGCCUAACACAUGCAAGUCGAACGAAGGCUUCGGCCUUAGUGGCGCACGGGUGCGUAACGCGUGGGAAUCUGCCCUUGGGUUCGGAAUAACAGCGAGAAAUUGCUGCUAAUACCGGAUGAUGACGUAAGUCCAAAGAUUUAUCGCCCAAGGAUGAGCCCGCGUAGGAUUAGCUAGUUGGUGGGGUAAAGGCCUACCAAGGCGACGAUCCUUAGCUGGUCUGAGAGGAUGAUCAGCCACACUGGGACUGAGACACGGCCCAGACUCCUACGGGAGGCAGCAGUGGGGAAUAUUGGACAAUGGGCGAAAGCCUGAUCCAGCAAUGCCGCGUGAGUGAUGAAGGCCUUAGGGUUGUAAAGCUCUUUUACCCGGGAAGAUAAUGACGGUACCGGGAGAAUAAGCCCCGGCUAACUUCGUGCCAGCAGCCGCGGUAAU